rnacentral:rRNA from 1 species
GACGAACGCUGGCGGCGUGCUUAACACAUGCAAGUCGAACGGUAAGGCCCUUCGGGGUACACGAGUGGCGAACGGGUGAGUAACACGUGGGUGAUCUGCCCUGCACUUCGGGAUAAGCCUGGGAAACUGGGUCUAAUACCGGAUAGGACCCUGGGAUGCAUGUCCUGGGGUGGAAAGCUUUUGCGGUGUGGGGUGGGCCCGCGGCCUAUCAGCUUGCGGGUGGGGUGAUGGCCUACCUGGGCGACGGCGGGUAGCCGGCCUGAGAGGGUGACCGGCCAGACUGGGGCUGAGAUACGGCCCAGACUCCUACGGGAGGCAGCAGUGGGGAAUAUUGCACAAUGGGCGCAAGCCUGAUGCAGCGACGCCGCGUGAGGGAUGACGGCCUUCGGGUUGUAAACCUCUUUCAGCACCGACGAAGCGCAAGUGACGGUAGGUGCAGAAGAAGGACCGGCCAACUACGUGCCAGCCGCCGCCGUAA